rnacentral:rRNA from 1 species
UACGUAGGGUGCGAGCGUUGUCCGGAAUUAUUGGGCGUAAAGGGCUCGUAGGCGGUUUGUCGCGUCGGGAGUGAAAACCUCGGGCUUAACUCGGGGCUUGCUUUCGAUACGGGCAGACUAGAGGUAUGCAGGGGAGAACGGAAUUCCUGGUGUAGCGGUGAAAUGCGCAGAUAUCGGGAGGAACACCGGUGGCGAAGGCGGUUCUCUGGGCAUGAUCUGACGCUGAGGAGCGAAAGUGUGGGGAGCGAACAGG